rnacentral:rRNA from 1 species
GACGAACGCUGGCGGCGUGCUUAACACAUGCAAGUCGAACGGAAAGGCCCUGCUUUUGUGGGGUGCUCGAGUGGCGAACGGGUGAGUAACACGUGAGUAACCUGCCCUUGACUUUGGGAUAACUUCAGGAAACUGGGGCUAAUACCGGAUAGGAGCUCCUGCUGCAUGGUGGGGGUGGGAAAGUUUCGGCGGUUGGGGAUGGACUCGCGGCUUAUCAGCUUGUUGGUGGGGUAGUGGCUUACCAAGGCUUUGACGGGUAGCCGGCCUGAGAGGGUGACCGGCCACAUUGGGACUGAGAUACGGCCCAGACUCCUACGGGCGGCAGCAGUGGGGAAUAUUGCACAAUGGGCGGAAGCCUGAUGCAGCAACGCCGCGUGCGGGAUGACGGCCUUCGGGUUGUAAACCGCUUUCGCCUGUGACGAAGCGUGAGUGACGGUAAUGGGUAAAGAAGCACCGGCUAACUACGUG